ACGCCGCGUGAGUGAUGAAGGUUUUCGGAUCGUAAAGCUCUGUUGUUAGGGAAGAACAAGUGCGAGAGUAACUGCUCGCACCUUGACGGUACCUAACCAGAAAGCCACGGCUAACUACGUGCCAGCAGCCGCGGUAAUACGUAGGUGGCAAGCGUUGUCCGGAAUUAUUGGGCGUAAAGGGCUCGCAGGCGGUUUCUUAAGUCUGAUGUGAAAGCCCCCGGCUCAACCGGGGAGGGUCAUUGGAAACUGGGAAACUUGAGUGCAGAAGAGGAGAGUGGAAUUCCACGUGUAGCGGUGAAAUGCGUAGAGAUGUGGAGGAACACCAGUGGCGAAGGCGACUCUCUGGUCUGUAACUGACGCUGAGGAGCGAAAGCGUGGGGAGCGAACAGGAUUAGAUACCCUGGUAGUCCACGCCGUAAACGAUGAGUGCUAAGUGUUAGGGGGGUUUCCGCCCCUUAGUGCUGCAGCUAACGCAUUAAGCACUCCG
rnacentral:rRNA from 1 species